UACGGGGGGAGCAAGCGUUGUUCGGAUUUACUGGGCGUAAAGGGCGCGUAGGCGGUCAGCACAAGUCAGUUGUGAAAUCUCCGGGCUUAACUCGGAAAGGUCAACUGAUACUGUGCGACUAGAGUGCAGAAGGGGCAACUGGAAUUCUCGGUGUAGCGGUGAAAUGCGUAGAUAUCGAGAGGAACACCGGUGGCGAAGGCGGCAUCCUGGACCAACACUGACGCUGAGGAGCGAAAGCCAGGGGAGCAAACGGG
rnacentral:rRNA from 1 species